UACGAAGGGGGCUAGCGUUGCUCGGAAUCACUGGGCGUAAAGCGCACGUAGGCGGCUUUUUAAGUCAGGUGUGAAAUCCUGGAGCUCAACUCCAGAACUGCCUUUGAUACUGAGAAGCUUGAGUCCGGGAGAGGUGAGUGGAACUGCGAGUGUAGAGGUGAAAUUCGUAGAUAUUCGCAAGAACACCAGUGGCGAAGGCGGCUCACUGGCCCGGUACUGACGCUGAGGAGCGAAAGCGUGGGGAGCGAUCCGG
rnacentral:rRNA from 1 species